CGGAUUCUCAGCUUCAUCGACCGCUCUCUCCUCUCCUUGCGGAUUACCCACAAAGACGGAUUCAGUUUCCUCCAGUUUUUCACCACUCUCUUCUUCAGUCGAAGAGUCUGAGAGUUCAAGCAGAUUAACAGGCUCCGCUUCCGUCUCGUCGACUCCCAAAGCAAGAGUUGGAGCAGCGCCACUAGCUCCGAGAGUCGGGACCAACGGACCCUCACUCA
rnacentral:lncRNA from 1 species